GGAGACGUGGCCGAGAGGUUGAAGGUACUCCCCUGCUAAGGGAGCAUGUGGUGAUGAGCUGCAUCGAGGGUUCGAAUCCCUCCGUCUCCGCCA
rnacentral:tRNA from 1 species